rnacentral:rRNA from 1 species
CUAGCGUUGUUCGGAAUUACUGGGCGUAAAGCGCACGUAGGCGGAUUUGUAAGUCAGGGGUGAAAUCCCGGGGCUCAACCUCGGAACUGCCUUUGAUACUGCAAAUCUCGAGUCCGGAAGAGGUGAGUGGAAUUCCUAGUGUAGAGGUGAAAUUCGUAGAUAUUAGGAAGAACACCAGUGGCGAAGGCGGCUCACUGGUCCGGUACUGACGCUGAGGUGCGAAAGCGUGGGGAGCAAACAGG